GAGGGUAUAGCUCAGUGGUAGAGCAUAUGUUUAGCAUGCAUAAAGUCCUAGGUUCAAUCCCCAGUACCUCCA
rnacentral:tRNA from 1 species